rnacentral:rRNA from 1 species
UACAGAGGGGGCAAGCGUUGUCCGGACUUACUGGGCGUAAAGGGUGCGCAGGCGGUCUGAUGCGUCGAUCGCUGAAAGCUCUCGGCUCAACUGAGAGAGGCGGUGGCGAUACGAUCAGACUCGAGUCUCUGAGAGGGUGGCGGAACUCCUGGUGUAGUGGUGAAAUGCGUAGAGAUCAGGAAGAACACCCGUGGCGCAAGCGCCACCUGGCAGAGCACUGACGCUGAGGCACGAAAGCGUGGGUAGCGAACAGG